rnacentral:rRNA from 1 species
GUCGUAACAAGGUUUCCGUAGGUGAACCUGCGGAAGGAUCAUUCGCACAUAUCCUAAGCAAAUCACUGUGCAUUUUUGGGUGAUGCUUAUCUUUGGGGAUGGAGAAAGGGAAUCCGAUCGAUACCCCCAUGGGUUUGCGUCGAGGGCUUCAGGGGCUGGAUGGGCGCAGAGCACCUGUCUAACCUUGCUGCCACAUUAUCAUUCUCUAUAUUCCAUCUUGUUUCCAAGGUGUGUUCUAUUGGACUUAAUUGUCCUUUCGAUUUAUGUGCAACUUGCAACUUUCAGCGAUGGAUGUCUUGGCUCGAAUACUGAUGAAGGGCGCAGCGAAGUGUGAUGAGCAUUGUGAAUUGCAGAAUUCCGUGAAUCAAUAGUACCUUGAAUGUGCAUUGCGCUUUCGGGAUAUCCCUGAAAGCAUGUCUGCUUCAGAGUCUACGUUACCUUCUGCCAGUAAUCUUCCCUGCAGCCAUUGUGGUGGUAUUACUGGGCAUGCUUGUGUGUCAAGGUUUUAUCCCUUGUCAAAUUCAGCGCAUUGGGUUCUCUUCUCUCUGCUGGGAGCAAAUUGUCAAGUGCCCUUUGUGGUUCUGUCCUUUUGUUCUUUUGGGCGAAGGAGUCCUUCUUUGAGGUGUGCUUUCUUGCGCGCCUCUCCAAGACAUGAAGUCAGACCAACAAACCCGCUGAAUUUAAGCAUAUAAGUAAGCGGAGGAUAAGAAACUAAAUAGGAUUCCCUCAGUAAUGGCGAAUGAACAGGGAUAAGCUCAGCAUGGAAAUUGGGGCUUCUGGCCUUGAAUUGUAGUCUGAAGAUGUACUACCAAUGGAGGCACAGAUGUAAGUCUUUUGGAAAAAAGCGUCGGUGAGGGUGAGAAUCCCGCUUGUCAUCUGUAGUCCCCUGUGUACGGUGUACCUCUCGAGAGUCACGUUCCUUGGGAUUGGAGCGCAAAAUGGGUGGUAAAUUCCAUCUACAGCUAAAUAUUGAUUCGAGACCGAUAGUGAACAAGUACCAUGAGGGAAAGAUGAAAAGGACUUUGAAAAGAGAGUUAAAAGUGCCUGAAAUUGCUGAAAGGGAAGCGAAUGGAGCCAGUGUGGCUUGGUAAGAUUGUUGCAUGUUAAUGUGAUGCUGCGCUGACUCAACGCAAGUGUGUCAGUGUGGUGUGAUCAAGAUACUUGCUGUGCUUCUUGCCCUGCGUGUCAUCAUCCAUGCGUGCGUGGGGAAAACUCUAGGCACAUGGUAGCAUGCCCUCGGGUGUGUGAAUGUGCUUGGUUGUAUCCAUGCUGGCAUGGCUUGAUGAGUAAAUGGAUCCUUUCGACCCGUCUUGAAACACGGACCAAGGAGUCUAACAUAUGUGCGAGUUCAUGGGUGGUUAAACCUGUUGGCGCAAUGAAAGUGACUGCUGGGAUUUUUGCACCAGCAACUGACUGAUCGAUUGAGAGAGGUUUGAGUAUGAGCAUAUCUGUUAGGACCCGAAAGAUGGUGAACUAUGCGUGA